ACUAGAUCAAAACAACGAAUGUAUAUAUUGAAGAUCGAUAAUAAAUUUUAAAACCAAAGCGGGUAUUUGGCGUUUAUAUUGUUCUCAUCAUCAGGGAAAUAGUAAAAUACGGAAAUUCCCAUUAUCGAGGAAACUUCUAGUCUGACCGUCUGUUGCCAGCACGCAGUGACCGCCGUCACACCGGACCCUCGCAAACAGUCCCAGCUCCUUCCCGGCACUGUCGAUCCACCACUUGUUAAUGAACGUCCCAGAUGCGCAGAGUACCAGAGCGGUCAUCAGCGAAGCCUGUGUGGUCAGCAAGGAACAUCGGACGGUUCCGCAAGCCAUUGUAUAUGAGCCUCGUUCUGGGAAAAUGGGGUUUAAAACAUGUUUAAAUGCAUGUUCGUCAAGUAUCUUCCAGAUAAACCUGUGCAGUACGCACAGGCUAAUCAGGGACGACACUUUUGGCUUGUAUGAUGUUUUUCUGGAUGGCUAUAAAGAUUAACUUAUUUAUUUUUAACGCACGGUAAUCACAAUAUAUUAAACAAUAUAGACCAACAUUAAAAUGGACCAAUGUAUUGUAAAAAAUAA